rfam:Toxocara canis scaffold163, whole genome shotgun sequence.
GUGGCAGUAGCUCAGCAGUAGGGCUCCCGCUUUGCAUGCGGGAAGACCUGGGUUCAAUCCCCGGCUACUUUC